AUACGAAGGGCCCGAGCGUUGCGCGGAAUCAUUGGGCUUAAAGCGUGCGUAGGCGGGCGUGCAAGCAUCUUGUGAAAUCCCUCGGCUCAACCGAGGAACUGCUUGGUGAACUGCACGUCUUGAGACAAGUAGGGGCUGUCGGAACGAUAGGUGGAGCGGUGAAAUGCGUUGAUAUCUAUCGGAACGCCGAAGGCGAAGGCAGGCAGCUGGGCUUGUUCUGACGCUCAGGCACGAAAGCGUGGGGAGCGAACGGGAUUAGAAACCCCGGUAGUCC
rnacentral:rRNA from 1 species